rnacentral:rRNA from 1 species
ACUGGAGGUGGGCGGACGGGUGAGUAACGCGUGGAUAACCUGCCUCAGUACAGGGGAUAACAGUUGGAAACGGCUGUUAAUACCGCAUAAGCGCACGAAACCGCUAUGGUUUUGUGUAGAAAAACUCCGGUGGUAUGAGAUGGGUCCGCGUCUGAUUAGCUAGUUGGCAGGGUAACGGCCUACCAAGGCGACGAUCAGUAGCCGGCCUGAGAGGGUGUACGGCCACAUUGGGACUGAGACACGGCCCAAACUCCUACGGAAGGCAGCAG